rnacentral:rRNA from 1 species
AGCGAACGCUGGCGGCAGGCCUAACACAUGCAAGUCGAACGAACUCUUCGGAGUCAGUGGCGGACGGGUGAGUAACACGUGGGAACGUGCCUUUUGGUUCGGAAUAACUCAGGGAAACUUGUGCUAAUACCGAAUGUGCCCUUCGGGGGAAAGAUUUAUCGCCAUUAGAGCGGCCCGCGUCUGAUUAGCUAGUUGGUGAGGUAACGGCUCACCAAGGCGACGAUCAGUAGCUGGUCUGAGAGGAUGACCAGCCACACUGGGACUGAGACACGGCCCAGACUCCUACGGGAAGCAGCAGUGGGGAAUCGUGCGCAAUGGGCGAAAGCCUGACGCAGCCAUGCCGCGUGAAUGAUGAAGGUCUGAGGAUUGUAAAAUUCUUUCACCGGGGACGAUAAUGACGGUACCCGGAGAAGAAGCCCCGGCUAACUUCGUG